ensembl:snRNA U1 U1 spliceosomal RNA
AGACUUACCUAGCAGGAGAUACCAUAAUCAGUGGUUUCCCCAAGGCAAGGCUUACUUACUGAACUCUGGGUGUGCUGACCUUUGAAAUUUCCCCACAUUUGGAAAACUUAACUGCAAACUUAGGGUAGUGCGUGGGGCUGCAGUUAAGCUUUCACUUA